UACAGAGGUCUCAAGCGUUGUUCGGAUUCAUUGGGCGUAAAGGGUGCGUAGGUGGCGCGCUAAGUCAGGUGUGAAAUUUCGGAGCUUAACUCCGAAACUGCAUUUGAUACUGGCGUGCUUGAGGACUGGAGAGGAGACUGGAAUUCACGGUGUAGCAGUGAAAUGCGUAGAUAUCGUGAGGAAGACCAGUGGCGAAGGCGGGUCUCUGGACAGUUCCUGACACUGAGGCACGAAGGCCAGGGGAGCAAACAGG
rnacentral:rRNA from 1 species